rnacentral:tRNA from 1 species
UGUAAUAUAAUGUAUGACGCAUAUAAGAUUUUGGAUUUUAAAGCUCAAGUUUAAUUCUUGUUAUUACAA